AGUGAACGCUGGCGGUAGGCCUAACACAUGCAAGUCGAACGGCAGCACAGUAAGAGCUUGCUCUUACGGGUGGCGAGUGGCGGACGGGUGAGGAAUACAUCGGAAUCUACUUUUUCGUGGGGGAUAACGUAGGGAAACUUACGCUAAUACCGCAUACGACCUACGGGUGAAAGCAGGGGAGCUUCGGACCUUGCGCGAGUGAAUGAGCCGAUGCCGGAUUAGCUAGUUGGCGGGGUAAAGGCCCACCAAGGCGACGAUCCGUAGCUGGUCUGAGAGGAUGAUCGGCCACACUGGAACUGAGACACGGUCCAGACUCCUACGGGAGGCAGCAGUGGGGAAUAUUGGCCAAUGGGCGCAAGCCUGACCCAGCCAUACCGCGUGGGUGAAGAAGGCCUUCGGGUUGUAAAGCCCUUUUGUUGGGAAAGAACAACUGCGGGUUAAUACCCCGCUGUUCUGACGGUACCUAAAGAAUAAGCCCCGGCUAACUUCGUG
rnacentral:rRNA from 1 species